ensembl:lncRNA TSPOAP1-AS1 TSPOAP1, SUPT4H1 and RNF43 antisense RNA 1
AUUAACAUCUUGUCUGCAUCCCACAACAGGCAGAUGGCCCUGUGCAGGGCUGAGCUGGAAGAGGUGACCAGGGCCUCCUCGCACCUUGCCCACCAGAGUGAGCCUGGCCUGCAGCUCCCUGCACUCCCGCUGCAAGGCAGCAAUCUGCUUGUCCUUGGCCAGCAGUGCACUGGCUGUCUCACUGAGGUCCCGGGCUCGCUGGCGGGCUAGGGCCUUCCGACACAACUCCAAGCUGGUCCCCGGCCGGGGCAAGGGGGCACUCACCUAGCCAGAGGAGGGGUUGGCUGAGCUCUUCCCCACCCACAAAGGAGGCUGCAGAAGGCGCCAGGGCUGCUGGAGCUGGAGCCAGGGCCUCCUGCCCCCAACAGGAUUCCUCACAUCCCAGGACCAGCUGGAAAAGGUGGUGAGAGUUGGAAAGAGACUGCUCAGUGAGGACUGCCCUGCGAACCAGCUUGGAUUCAUCCCGUUCACCUCCACGUUCUGCACUCGGGGCCGAGGGAAGGGAGGCAGCCCAGGCAGCUAGAGAACUUGAUGAAACACACUCAAUCUGAAUCUCGCUUGAUCGUCAUGCUGACCCAGUGAGGGUCAGGCAUCCUUUCCGACUACUCACUCAGCAGCGGAUCCCCACCCGCCUCUGACUCCCAGUGUCUUUCGGCUCCAACGUAAGUUCACCGAACGUCUAAGAGCUGAGGAUUCAAAGGCAUGUAAGACCGCCCCUGCCCUCAGCUGCAAGACCUGUCCGCGAUCCUACGAGCCCCAUUCCGCCCUCUUUCCCCGACCUUGGUCCCCCAUGGGCCCUACAACCAGGUCCCCGACUGACACCUUGACCAGCGAACACAGCAAACAGGCCCGCAGAUGCCGCAGGUCCUUCGGCACCGUCUCCAGGGCCAUCUUCGCCGAUGGGAAGAACAACAGGGAGAUAGACGACCACAGCCUGUGCACCCGCAGGAAGUAAAUAGCUCGUUACCCAGAAUGCCCACCACUUCCGGCGCUUAGACUUCCUCUUCCGGUGUGGGCGGACGCCAGCUCCGCCCCUACCCCCGCCAGAGGAGAUGGUUUCUCCCGCCAGCAGGCGGGGAGGCUGGGCGGCCGGCCGCCACCUGGGCCGGAGCGCGUCGCAGCCACCUGAGCCCGCCGAGGGCGCGGCGGAGGCUGUGUGGGGUAGUCAGCGGGCCCCCGGGGCGGGGGGGCGGCUGCGCUUGCGCGGGAGUGUGUCGGGCUGAGCCGCAGCGCCGAGACGCGGGCUGUUUGAUCUGGGCUGGUGGCCCUGGGCGUCGGUCCUGUUCCCCGAUGGUAACCCGAAGUUUGUUUUUUUUUGUUUUGUCUCCCCGUUUUAGAAGCAUUGGGGGCAGUGAAUCCACUGUCUCCCUCUGGAUUGUCUCUGCAGAGACCGAGAAGAAAUCCAGGGACAGCCCCACCCCUCCUUCCUAACUGCGAGAGCGCUAUAGGGUUUCCACUUGCUUCCCACAGGAAUGCUGGCCUGGGAGCUACGGCGGAAAAAAAUGCGUAUUUAUCUUUUAAAACUCCGUCUGUUUGCUCGUUCCGGCUGAUAAUUUAUACUUUGCGCAGUUCUUAGCGCUUAGACACGGUUCCUUUACUAAAGACCAUUUGUAGGAGAUUAGGUGUCCUUUUUUUCCCUUUCAUUUCACCGUCUAGGAAGCGAAAUGCCUUGUUCUAUAGGCACUAAACCACCACCCCUACCAAACCUUUCUCGGGGAAGCAGAAGGGGAACUUGUGCCUUGUGAGGAAGCGACAAAGGCCCCUUCUGGCCCUGGAGACUUCACGCCAAUGGAGCACCAGCUCUCUGUCCUCGCAAUAGCCCGAGUGCAGGCAGAACGCAGUCAUUUGUGUUUAUCUGAGAGGAGCUUUGGGAUAUAAAUAGUUUCAGGCCCCGCUGCGCUGUCAUUCCAGCCCAGCCUCCUGAUUGAGCUGCUUCCGGGCGGGCUUUCUUCUUGUUGGCGGUCCCAUGCUGUGUUCAGAUGGGCUCUGUGACAGGUUUGGAUGUUUUCUAUCACUGAAUAAAACUUUCCACUUUGGAACAU